AAGUCGUAACAAGGUUUCCGUAGGUGAACCUGCGGAAGGAUCAUUACCGUAGGGGGUAACCCCUCCUCCGAGAUGCCACCCUUGAUUUACAAGCACUUGCUUUUCCCUCGGCGGGCCUGCCCGCCAGCGGAACAACCCAAAAACCCUUUACUGUAAUAGUAGUACGCUCUGAUAGACAAACAAAAAGUCAAAACUUUCAACAACGGAUCUCUUGGUUCUG
rnacentral:misc_RNA from 1 species